UUGGCAUCUUAUAUGCACGCGGGCUGGACCUCUCGGGGUUACAGCCUUGCUGAAUUAUUCACCCUUGUCUUUUGCGUACUUCUUGUUUCCUUGGUGGGUUCGCCCACCACUAGGACAAACAUAAACCUUUUGUAAUUGCAAUCAGCGUCAGUAACAAAUUAAUAAUUACAACUUUCAACAACGGAUCUCUUGGUUCUGGCAUCGAUGAAGAACGCAGCGAAAUGCGAUAAGUAGUGUGAAUUGCAGAAUUCAGUGAAUCAUCGAAUCUUUGAACGCACAUUGCGCCCUUUGGUAUUCCAAAGGGCAUGCCUGUUCGAGCGUCAUUUGUACCCUCAAGCUUUGCUUGGUGUUGGGCGUCUUGUCUCUAGCUUUGCUGGAGACUCGCCUUAAAGUAAUUGGCAGCCGGCCUACUGGUUUCGGAGCGCAGCACAAGUCGCACUCUCUAUCAGCAAAGGUCUAGCAUCCAUUAAGCCUUUUUUUUCAACUUUUGACCUCGGAUCAGGUAGGGAUACCCGCUGAACUUAAGCAUAUCAAUAAGCGGAGGAA
rnacentral:rRNA from 1 species